CAGCAGUUAGAGUUCCGGGUAGCGCGUGUGAGGCGGAGCUCCGCAGUUCCAUCUGCUUCAUCCGCAGCGGCUCCCUAUCUGUCUCGUUGCAUUCUCCAGAGAGGGACGGACCUCCACUUCCUCUAUCAGAAAAAUGUCUGCUCCAGCUCAGCCGCCCGCUGAGGGAACAGAAGGGGCCGCCCCAGGUGGAGGUCCUCCUGGUCCUCCUCCUAAUUUGACCAGUAAUAGACGACUACAGCAAACCCAGGCACAAGUGGAGGAGGUGGUGGACAUCAUGCGUGUGAAUGUGGACAAGGUCCUAGAGAGGGACCAGAAGCUGUCAGAGUUGGAUGACCGAGCUGACGCCUUGCAGGCCGGAGCGUCACAGUUUGAGAGCAGCGCUGCCAAGCUGAAAAGGAAGUACUGGUGGAAAAACUGCAAGAUGAUGAUCAUGCUGGGAGCUAUCUGUGCCAUCAUCGUGGUCGUUAUUGUAAGUAAGUAUCCCUGAGGUUGCCAUGGGGUGAAGAGGUGGGAAGGUCCUGGAGUCUUCUCCCAGCCCUGCCUGCCUGCCUGCCUGCCUGCCUGCUGGGGAGUGGGGCUGCUCUGACUGAGGUAUGGAGACCGCUGCUGUGGGAUCAUCGCCUGGUUGGUGGGGGGAGGGAGGGCAAAGACAAGGAGAUUCCUUGCCGGACAAGCCUCCCCCUUCAAAGAAUUGUAGGAAGAUGGCCCCUUCUGCUGAGAAGUGUGGCUGUGCUGUUUGUCUCUGCCUGUGUCCCAGGGAGACCUUGGGACUGGGUUGCCUGUAACUGAGAGACCUGGUUGUCUAGUAACGCGAUGUAACUUGCCCUCUUGUUUUCUCCUGUCUCUUUUUUCUUCUUCGUCUGGGACUUCCUGAUUCCUGUGUCCAGUCUACUUUUUUACUUGAGAAUGUGCCAUCCCGUCCCUGUUCUUCAUUGCCAUCCAAGUUCAUGUCUUUUUCUUCCUGUCUGCUCUCUCAGCCAACCCCUUCAUCUGCCUGUCUCCACUCUAGCCCAGGCUUCUCCGUCACCCAUGCCUCCUUUUCUGUUGCAACCAUUUGCACUCUUCCUUCACACUAGAAAUGCUGCGCGUGGCUGGUCGUGACGUCACUACCCAAAGAGCAACAGCUGGCACCCCCUCUUCACCCCAGCUUAAAAGUGCUGUGGCCAGGGGAGGGAGGACAUUGGGGAUGGCAGAGGUGAAGUGUCUGAGAAGCUGGCAUGGCCGAGGGAAGGAGAAGGGUGUUUGUCUCCAGCUAGGCUGGCCUUCAGCACGAGGGACCCAGACUACUUGGGAAGUAAUGACUUGCUGCCUGUUUUAUAUAAUAGUUGGUAACCACUACCCUGGAACCUUUCUCUCAUACCAAGCCUGUCUCGGGUCCCAGAGGUCUGUUUAAAGACAGAAGUCAAACUGGAAUUUUGUAGUUACUGCUUGUCUGUCAGUGUAAGAUGUUCUGUGUCUUUGGGGAACUUUACAGCCUUAGACAUUGUUCUCUGUGGGCCUAGAAAACAAGUACUCACUGAUUAUAAAAACAGUAGGAGACUCUUACAUCUUCCUAGAAGCCAUCCCACAUGCUUCUGUCUAGGAGGAGCCGCUGUCUCCUCAUCUUUUCUGAACUGUUCUAUGUUGCUCAUGAGGGCACCAAAUGAUUCCAAUCAGCUUUGAAACAGCAAGCGUUUGGGAACAUGCUUCUUGCCAUCUCGUUAUUGAAGUUCAGCCUCCCUUGCUGUUGAUAAUGGGGACUGGGUGCGAAAUGGUGAGACUCCCAGGCUCCCACAGAACCCCUUCCUCCACACCUUUCUCUCAUUCUUGCCUGACAUAGGGAUGUGGCAGGAAGGCCUUUCCAGCAAAGCCCGCAGCUCAGUCUUGGAUGGGAGGGGUGCCAGCUCGUGACAGGUGUGCUGCGCACUGUGCCCGUGACAGGUGUGCUGCGCAUUGUGCCUGUGACAGGUGUGCUGCGCACUGUGCCCGUGACAGGUGUGCUGCGCACUGCUGUGCCAGCAUGGGGCCUCGCAUCUGGAGCUGUCUGCUUCUCCUCCUUCAGUAUCUUCUCUGGAACCAUCCUCCCCUGUCUGAAUUCUGCAUUGCCUCCUCUCCUCCACUCCCUUUGCAUGCCCUGUGCGAAUAGAGGCUGAAACCUGAGGAUGGGAGCUGCUGCUGAGCCUCACAGAGGAUGCGCAUGCCAUAAACCCAGGUGCUGGGGGGAGUGCAGGAGGGGGUGCUCUCAGGACUUUAUUACUUCUGCCCUCUGGUCCACAAGCAGGAGGAGGCUGGGGCCGUGCCAGCCCGCGUGCCCGCUUUCCACGCAGCAGCAUUUCACUCUGCAAAACCAUCCUUCUUUCCCUUUGCCCAUUUCUCACAUUCCCUUCGUCCUGCCUCAGGGCGGGACUGAAGAGCUGAAGAAAGCAGUCAGUGUACUCUCCCAACGUCCGUCCCCCCGAAGUUCUCCACUAUCCUCUAGGCUUCUCUUUGCCUAGUGCAGGGGGGGUCACCGCUGGAGAAGAACCGACACUGUCCUCGAUGUACUCUGAGCCUGGAGCAAAUUUACCCGGUUGGCCCACCCAAUCCUAGCACGGGAAUUCAUUCCUGGGUUUCUGUCCCACUAAGGCUUACCAGGUGUAGUUGGUUUUGUUCUUUUGGGGUGUUAGCCCUUUUACUUUCUUUCUCACCCCACCCCGAGCCCUCUUCUGUGUCUUUGCAGUCUCUUUCCUCCCACCACCCAUGUGCAUGAGCAAGUAUGCCUCUAACCCUGGGACUUUGCAGCCAGUGAAGCCAAGCUUCCCACAUCCCCUUCUUUGGUUUGUCAUGAGACGAUGUGGGGUUUCCAUUGUGUCUGUCAUUGCCUCUGUCUUUUUCCUAACCCAGUCUCAUAGUUUAUGUAUAGAGCAGUAAGAGUUGUAUUUCCACCAAAGGCAUGUGACAUAUCUACCAAUUUCAUGUAUUCUCAGCGACGGCGAAAAAUACAAAUUCCUUCCACAACA